rnacentral:lncRNA from 1 species
CCUGCCUCACCGAUUAAUAUCUGGGGGAUUAUCCUAACCCUGCUCCAGUGGUCUUCGGUGCUGUUUUGAACUCAGGAUGGAGUUGAAGAAAAUUAGGAAGGUCUGUGAGUCCCGAACUUCAUGCAGCAUGGAGCAGUACGAGCUGGAGCCUCCUCUGGCUGAUCAUCAGGCUGAAGUCAACCACCGUGUUGUUAGUUGGAAACUGGCCAGGUUUGCAGCUGAGGCGUCAACACAAGCUGUCUGUGAGCAAGAAUCAGCACCAAUCUCUGAGAUUAUAAAGAAAGCUGAAUAUCAAAUUUCAUCACAAAUACAUACAUGUUAUUGCUGCUCACCUGGAGCUUCCUACAGGCAGAAAGAAGCAUUUCCAGGGAAUGACGGAUUUCACUUAUCUUCAACAGCUGUUUUGAAAUGGACACAGAGAUACUUAAGAGAACACGUUUAGACUAGACUCCCGCUUACAGAUGAUUAAAAUUAGAUGAGAUCCAUUCUUUAUGACGGUUCUCAAAUUUUAGUUCUUUCUUCAAAUCUUUUGUGGACAGCUCAAACAAUUUCCUACAAGUUUUCCUUCCUCUAUGUGUUAAGGAAAAAUUUCACUGUUCUAGCUUAGUGGAGACUCAAGCAGAUAUUUGCUGUGCCAGGCCUGAUUGCUUUGGGCAACUCUCAUUGGAUGGCUCUUGGAAGGGUGCACAAGAUAAGAAGGUGCCCUGGGCUUCAUAGAAUCCAAUUGCAUAAUGCCUUAUCUAAGUUUUUGAUUAUGUAGAUUUACUUCAAAACUAAGUGCAUUCAGACAAUUUCUACAAGUGUGCAUGCCAAAAGAUCUGUUCUGUAAUACAUUGGUGCAAUCUGUU